GACUCUGAGCAGUGGAUCACUUGGCUCAUGCGUUGAUGAAGAGUGCAGCUAACUGCGAGAACUAAUGUGAAUUGCAGGACACAUUGAUCGACACUUCAAACACACUUUGUGGCCCAGAGUUACUCCCGGGGCUAUGCCUGUCUGAGGGUUG